GGGAUCGAAGAUGCUUAGAUACCAUCGUAGUCUUAACCGUAAACGAUGCCGACUUGCGAUUGUCCGAUGGUUUUUCUUUAGCCGUGGGCAGCAGCACAUGAGAAAUCAAAGUCUUUGGGUUCCGGGGGGAGUAUGGUCGCAAGGCUGAAACUUAAAGGAAUUGACGGAAGGGCACACCAGGAGUGGAGCCUGCGGCUUAAUUUGACUCAACACGGGGAAACUUACCAGGUCCAGACAAAGUAAGGAUUGACAGUUUGAGAGCACUUUCUUGAUUCUUUGGGUGGUGGUGCAUCGCCGUUCUUAGUUGGUGGAGUGAUUUGUCUGGUUAAUUCCGUUAACGAACGAGACCACAGCCUACUAAAUAGAGCACAUUAUGGUAACAUAGUGUGAUACUUCUUAGAGGGACAUUUCGGGUAUACCGGAAGGAAGUUCGAG
rnacentral:rRNA from 1 species